AUUUUGAACAAUCUAAAUCCAGUGAUAAAAACAUAAUUAUCGGUUCAUCCAUUCUAAAAGAAAUCUGAACUUCUGGCCUAUCUAAGACAGAUUUAAGAACAUUCAGAUGUGCCAACAUUUAUAAGAUCACUAGUGAAAUUAUGAAAAUGAACUUAAGAACAUAUGAGAAUAUUAUUCUUCAAGUUGGUGGAAAUGAUGUAAGUGCUGGAAAAACCCCAAAAGAUGUAGACGACCAUAAAAGUCUGAUAUGGACACCUCAUUCGUGUAGCAAUAAGGAUUGUAACAUCAUAGUCUCAGUACUCCCCCCCCAGGAAAUGAUGUAAAUGUGUACAGGGCAAAUGUAAUCCUACAAAAACUGUGUCAACAUUUUGGAUUGGUUUUUAUACGACAGUAUGAGAUGUAAUUACUAUAUGAUUGACAGUUUCAGCCAGAAUAAAGGUUUCUAUAUUCAUUUCAACUCCAGACUAACAUCCAGAUACAUUAAAACAAUAAAUAAUAUCCCAAGUUAAGGCAAUACCUCAGAAUCAGUGGGCAUGGGAAUUACAAGAACACAUGGAAGAGGCACAUCAGAUUGUUCAGAGACAUGUCUCUGGUCAAAUGUUAAGGCAAAAGAAAAACCAUGACAUAAAUGUCAGUCUGAUGUAUGUGCUAAUUGUGGUGAACUUAACAAUAAAACAUCCUCGUGUAGAUUUGGAAAGAAAAUCAAAUGUUAUAAAUGUAAUAUGUAACAUGUAUGGCCACAAACUGAAAUUUUGUACAGCAUGAAAAAAUGGCAAAGAAGAGAAUGCCAAUGUAACCACUGUUUCAAACAGAUUUAACACACUUUCAACAUUAUGCUCUGAAUGCAAUUUAUUAUCUUGAAAAUGCAAGUCCACAUUUUCUAUUUCACAAGAGUAUGGAAUUUCUAAAAGAAACAAAAAGGGG
rnacentral:lncRNA from 1 species